GGUGCUUGUGUUUUGAUAUAUGCAGGGGGCCUGGGGCGGGCCGGGGCUUUCACUUUAGAAUGGUUCCACUCUUGCGGGAACAAGGGGUGCGCCGUAAUUUUGUCCAGGGCACGUUUAAGUUGCAUAGUUGGGUCUCUGGGGAGCACUUUUGGUUUCACUUCAUUCAGGUACUCAUUGAUAUAUUGUUCAUACAUCUCUUCAGACAGCAAAACGAUCUUCUUGGUUUUAUCAUCUCGUGUUAUGAUCAAGUUGUUCUGCUUGAGCCAGGCAUCCGUCUUCCGCUUCAGAGUUAAUAUUGUGGGGUCGUAAAGUGUUCUGUGAGGCGGUGCUCUAUUGACAUCUCGAAUAUAGUUCCAUCGAUACUUCUGUCUGUUCAAUUCAGAGUCAUAAACAUUAAGAAUCAAGUCUUCUAUUACUGGGAUAUCAUCAGAUGAGAGUGACCUUCUAUGUAUGGCGCAGGAAGGGCCUUUGUUAAUGAGCUGCUUCACAAAGUUUGGUAAUUUUUUGUAAUUCUCAAUGCGUUUUUUAAUUUGUUCUUAUACAUUGUUGUGUAAUGCGUUCUAUUAUU
rnacentral:lncRNA from 1 species